UGUUGCUCCAGAGAGUUGCGUGUCAAGUGAGCUGUUGUAGUAGUUGAGCUACGUAAUUAGUACGGCACAGUUUGGACAUUUUGGACAGUGAGAGCCUGUGUGCGUCCAUUGAGAAAACCACACACACACACCCAAAAGGACACUUUACUUCCUGUCUGAAGUGUAUAUGUGCACAGUGCGUGAAGUUUAUAAUAAAGUCCACUGAAGACAAA